AGACCCGAAACCCGGUGAUCUAGCCAUGGGCAGGUUGAAGGUUGGGUAACACUAACUGGAGGACCGAACCGACUAAUGUUGAAAAAUUAGCGGAUGACCUGUGGCUGGGGGUGAAAGGCCAAUCAAACCGGGAGAUAGCUGGUUCUCCCCGAAAGCUAUUUAGGUAGCGCCUCGUGAAUUCAUCUCCGGGGGUAGAGCACUGUUUCGGCCAGGGGGCCAUCCCGGCUUACCAAUCCGAUGCAAACUGCGAAUACCGGAGAAUGUUAUCACGGGAGACACACGGCGGGUGCUAACGUCCGUCGUGAAGAGGGAAACAACCCAGACCGCCAGCUAAGGUCCCAAAGUCAUGGUUAAGUGGGAAACGAUGUGGGAAGGCCCAGACAGCCAGGAUGUUGGCUUAGAAGCAGCCAUCAUUUAAAGAAAGCGUAAUAGCUCACUGGUCGAGUCGGCCUGCGCGGAAGAUGUAACGGGGCUAAACCAUGCACCGAAGCUGCGGCAGCGAACGUAUCACCCAAGACAACUUUACACAGUUGACGCCUGACGGAGCGAAGCGACGUCAAAGCGUUUUACAACGUCGAGUUGGCUUAGGGAUACGUUCGUUGGGUAGGGGAGCGUUCUGUAAGCCGUUGAAGGUGU
rnacentral:rRNA from 1 species